AUACAGGGGAUAACUAUGCAGGAUGCUAACUAUGCAGGUGCUAACUAUGCAGGAUGCUAACUAUGCAGGUUCUAACUAUACAGGUGCUAACUAUGCAGGAUGCUAACUAUGCAGGUUCUAACUAUACAGGGGCUAACUAUGCAGGAUGCUAACUAUGCAGGUUCUAACUAUACAGGUGCUAACUAUGCAGGUUGCUAACUAUGCAGGUUCUAACUAUACAGGGGCUAACUAUGCAGGAUGCUAACUAUGCAGGUUGCUAACUAUGCAGGUUCUAACUAUACAGGGGCUAACUAUGCAGGAUGCUAACUAUGCAGGAUGCUAACUAUGCAGGUACAAACUAUGCAGGUACAAACUAUGCAGGUGCAAACUAUGCAGGUAGUAACUAUGCUGGUGCUAACUAUACAGGGG
ensembl:lncRNA